UUACAAACUUAAAAUAGAAUAAAAUAUAGGUUAUAACAAGAGUUACCUAAAAGCUCAUUGGACUUCAUUUCCCUCUGUUACACUAUGAUGUGAGAAUGAAAUGAUGGAACCACAUACAUAAAAGAGCCUCUCCUGAACAUUUCUUUUACCCAAAUUCAGACCUUGUAUUUGACAUGAAUGUCAUGGUCUUUACUGAACAAAUCUUGCCCAAAAAGUUCAGGCUCUGUCUUGCACAAGCAUAAAAUUAAAUUAUAACCAACACUUCAUAAACUAGUAAGCUUACACCGUAUCCUGCUUCUUUUUCCUGAAAAAGCCAGGAAAGCAAAUACCCAUUUGGACAUAAAAGUAGGUUUGAGAUAGCUACAAGAAAGAUUUCCUGGGCAAACCGAGGAAUCUUCUUCAUUUGUGGUCAGUUAAUUCUCCUUUCCCAUAAACACCAUAGCUGGGGUCAGCUAUAGAAGAAAACAGUUAUUGAAAUCUGCUUUGUUUUUCAGAGAAUGUCUCAUCUUGGUCAGUAACACUCAGGACUUUUAUUUCGUGCUGCAAAAGCAGCCUGGAUAGAAGCUGACUGGGGAGGUAGAAAGCAGAUAUUUUCUUUAGUUCCAGUUUGCUGGUUAUUGCAUGGCAAUCAGCAGAUCCCAUUUUGCCUUAUGAUUUCAAAGUGAAAUUUUACUUGAGUGGAGCCUAAUCUGUGCUUGAGUGUAGUGAAUGACCUGAGCAAGCACAGACAGAACUUCACACCGCAAGGAAUAGCCUCCCAUGAGCUGUUAAGAGAUGCAGUUGUUGAAAUCAAACACUGGAAGCAAUUUUUAAAUGCCCAAAGAUGGAUUAUUCAAACUUUAAAAGCCCAGCUUCACUACAGUGUGGCAUAGUUGCUGAGUGUUGCAGUGUGGUGUGAGAAUGCAGAACAUUUCCCUGCAACAAUCCCAUCUCCUGGGCUCUCCAGUGCACUUGUUUUACAGCGAUUAAGGGACUGAGAGCUGCACUCUGUUUAAUUUUGUUUCCUGAAGGCACAGACUGAAGCAAUAUUAGAAGCAGACUGCACUGGCCUGUAGAAAACUCACAUUGUUGGAUUUCUUUUCCCCCACUGCUUGCCAAAGCCUCUGACAUCAACUUUAACCCAACAGGGAGCCAGAGGAAGGAGAGGGAGGUGCAAUGGCAGAUGGCAACCCACAAGGAGGCGAGAACUGCAUACUGCACUUUGGCACUCUGUGACAAGGACAACUUUACAGUAACCUAGUUUGCUUAUAAAUUGAAUGAGGAUUAUUUGCUAUUUCCACCCUCCCCUUCCCCCCACCAUGUUUGGUCAGAUCACUGCAAGAUGGGCAAAAAAAAUAUCUAAUUAAUUAAUUGACUUAGCUCUGGCAAGCUGUAUUUCUAAUAGUGGGAGGACAGAAGAGAACUGAUUUUAAUAUAGUUUAUCCAGAUGUAUUUCAAGCUUUGAUACAGUUUCAAUGUACAUGAGCAGGAGGGCAAAUAUGAAUACCCAGUAAAGCAGUAGUGAGUUUCUCUAUUACCUGUCCUCAGUGCCCUGGAAAUCUGCAGAAAUUCAAGAGAGGUUUUGCUAUGCUUUCUGCUUGUCUUUGCCUUCAAACAAAACCAUGUUCAAUGGAGACAGAUAACAGGAUUUCCCCUAGGAAUGCACUGAAAUACUGUUAUGUCUUUGCCUGUUCUUGGCUGAUUGAGAUAUUAAUUAAUUAUAUGAAUAAGCCUAGGAAAAUAAAGAAAAAUCACUGGUAGCUGUGUUGAAGAGAUGCCAAUUUUUAACAAGCAGCGUCUGGUGCUUUCCGGGCCACUCCACGCAUGUGCAUUCUGUAGAGAACAAUGAGCUUGCACUCUGUUUGCUUCUGGGAAUGCAUAUUUAGUAACAUUCCCUCUCUUCCCCCUCUGCCUGAGGUGGGUCACCAGGACAUAAGCUUCAUUCACAAAAAGACAUCCGAGCUUCAUCCAGCUCCUCUCUGGCGAUGACUGCAGCUUUCAUCCACGUGUAGCACGGUGGCUCCUCUCCCGCAAAGCUCACAGACACGGUGGCACACGGGGACAUAACCAUGACAAGCCCUACUGAUUUCACAAGCCUGUUAUUCUAAGACAGCAGAGCAGGUGAAUCGCUGUCCUCGGGGCUGUGGCCCUCCCUUGUGUUCUGUAUUCUUUAGCCAGCGGGCAGCGCUGACACGGCCUUGCGUGACACAAUGGGAUAUUAACGUGUGUGAAGAGCUCGGCGUUGAACCACGCACACAACGGCCUAUAUAUAGCCAGAGGUAGCAGCUUUCUGAAUCAGGAUGGCUAUUGUUGUGCCCGAUAGCAUUGGGGAAUGAAGAACUCAGUGGCUGUGCACAGAGAAUGCAUGGCUCAGGUUGUUGAAGGAUUUGUGUUUCCCUCUGGCCCUGCUCUUCACUGGGUUUGUUGGAUGGAUACAGCUGCAUACAGCUGUGAUGGUCACGGUCCGAGGCAUCUUCCUCGUCCUGCCCCAGAGGAGAUAUACUGUAUCAGGUGGUGCUAAUGCAUGGACUGAAGGCCCCUUUGGUCACCCUUCUUCUCUGGCUCAGUAGGCCCAUGGCAGGGUUUAGAGGGUUUUUCAAGUGCCAAGCAUGAGAAUGGUAAAAUAAUAGAAAAAUACAGAACAUAGUCUCUGUGCUUUCUUUUCUGUUUUUUACCUUUAUCUAGUGAUCUGUAGAGAUGAG